GCGGCUGCCUGGUUUGCUCAAUAUUUAAUCUUGGAAUGUCGCGGUGUCUUUUAGAGAAGAUCUGCAUGUUCUACUUUUUUUAGGGAUUUUGGCUUGCCCGAAAUUGUUUUGAAUUUUUGCUCCGGCAAGUCAGAUAUCGAAUAUCUAUGGUUCCAAGCAAAUAUUGCAUUCUUUUUGGGGCUCUAAUAGCAUUUAUACAACACUCUCAAAUAAUAAAUUUCUGCCGAUGGAAUGUAAUGAUAGAGGCAGAAAUGUUUAUUUUGACGGCAUGUGAAUAACACGUGGGAAUGUGAAGAGAGUGCAGCAUGGGUAGGAGUAUAUAAGGGGAGACAUAGCGUGUUAGUGUCACUCUAACCAGCUCCUCUGUUUAAGCCAUAUUGACUUUUGCUAAUGUAUAUUUUCUUUUUUAAACUUUUUCUUCGGCUCUUAAGCCCCGAGAGCACGCAAUGCUGUGCAUUGGUUCGGGGAACACGGUCCAGAAUUUUUUUCCCACAGGGUUUUAUCUCUGGUUUACGUGUCGAGUAUGGAGAAGGGCAACGUCGCGGACCUUAUCUCGGAGCAGCUUUCAGUGCAAGGUGGUCGUCAAGAAGCCGACUAACUUCUAAAAAUCUUUGGGAAAGUUGGCCACUGGAGGGCUGAGUGCUCCAACUCAACACCGAAGUCAAGCUGACUGUAUGGCAGAGACAAAGAUCAAGAUAUCCCAAUGAAGGCUUCUGGGUAGAAUAAGUGUUUCACCUUCUCCAUCUUCCGCGCCAGUCUAGCCCGAACUUUGUUAACUCUAUGUCAUUCAGCAGUGAUCACUGCUGGCGCUGGCUACAUAUCCAAAAUAAACAGGAGUUCUCCUGAACUGUGUUUGUUGUAAAGUGUUAUGAAAUGGAGGCAAAAUUAAUUCAUUUCUGCCGAUGGAAUGUAUUGAUAGAGUCAGAAAUGUUUAUUUUGACAGCAAGUGAAUAACACGUGGGAAUGUAAAGAGAGUGCAGUAUGGGUAUGAGUAUAUAAGGGGAGACAUAGCGUGUUAGUGUCACUCUAGACAGCUCCUCUGUUUUAAGCCAUAUUGACUUUUGCUAAUGUGUAUUUUCUUUUUUAAACUUUUUCUUCGGCUCUUAAGCCCCGAGAGCACGCAAUGCUGCGCAUUGGUUCGGGGAACACGGUCCAGAAUUUUUUUCCCACAGGGUUUUAUCUCUGGUUUACGUGUCCGGCUCAGUAUUACCUUCUUGUAAAUAUAAAUUAGGCGAUUAUAAUAUUUCACCUUUUCAGAUUGUAAUUGUAUUGGAAAUUUAGCAGUGUUUGCUGCUUGUCAGAUUGUUUUGUAUUGUAAUGUUCAUUCAGCAGUGAUUACUGCUAGCUGGGCGCUGGCUACAUGAAAAUAAACAGGAGUUCUCCUGAA